ACCACUUCACCCACCCCAAAUUCCAAGUCAGCUCUACGACGGGUGCACAAGAGACUGGAAGUGUAAACAGCUAUCCCCCCACCCGGAGAACCACGAUCCUUGCGGUACAAUUCAUAGCCACCUAGGAGUAUAUCGUCGUCUGCUAUAGAUAUAUCAAGAUACUGUCGGUUGUGGGUCUACCACACCGUGUCAAAAUGGAGGAACAUGUGUUGAUGGAAGUUGUCGAUGUACUGAGGGUCUGUAUGGAACUGUUUGUGAAAAGAUAGAUUGUGAAGGCGAUGGAGCUCAUCCCUGUCAGAACGGGGGAACGUGCGAAAAUGUUAAUGGAAAUGGUACAUGUAAUUGUGCACCGGGUUUCACAGGAGAUGUUUGCGACAUUAUUGAGAGCAGCGAAUCAAGCACCACUGAUUCUAGCGAUGAGGAGAAUACCAGCUGUGAAAAAAA